UUGAGACUUGACUUAGACUUGAGACAGAUGACUCGAAAGGACUUGACUUUUUUAUUAUUAAAUAUUUGUAUUUUUCAUAUCGAGAAGCCGAUGUAAAAUCUUUGGUUACGUUUUGUUUUUGGAACAUGAUUGGGUGAUUUCUAUUACAAUGCGCGGGGACCUGGCAACCUGAACCAACCAGGAUGCGUCAGACCAGCAGAGGAAAAGGCAUGAAGAAGCAAUCAUGGAAGGGGCCGUUCCAAAAAUAAUAAAGUUUGGGUUCAAGGAUUACGUUGUAGAUGAAGGUUGUAAGAAAAGAACAGCGGUAUGCAAGGUCUGCAGCUUAAAAAUCAGUGACACGACCACCACAACAUCCAACUUCACCCGUCACUACAAAAUCCAUAUAGAAAGGGGUAGCUUAUUCUGUUGAAUGAAAAUGAAGACUUUUAGAAAAAUAUCUCAGCUCUGUAGGUCCUUACAAUGCAAGUGAAUGGUGGCCAGAAAUUCUAAGGUUCGAAAAGCAUAUAAAGGCAGCAUAAAAGUGAUCCACGAGACUCCAUCUUCAAAAGAUCACAUUUUCAGAGAAGUGUCUGGCUGCAGACUGUGGGCGAUUGGAGCUCCACUCUCAAACAGGAAAUACGUCACCUCCACUUCGUAAAAGUUUAGUAUACUGCUUUGAUAUUGUGUGUGAAGAUUAGGUGAGGUCACGUAUAUAUGCGCUCGGUUAAAUAUAUAUAUAUAUAUAUAUAUAUAUAUAUAUAUGCGUUCGGUCGCAGUCAUAGACAGUAUAAGGCCGCAGUAGAGGUGACGUAUAUAUGCGCUCCGGCGCAGUGGAGGUGACGUAUUUCCGCUUUUGAAUGGAGCUCCACUCGCCCCGUAAUCUGCAGCCAGCCCCUAUUGCAUUUUCAAACAUUACAUUCUUCUUCUUUUGUUUUUGGUGAUUCACAUUCUUUGUGCAUAUCGCCGCCCACUGGGCAGGGAGGAGAAUUUAGAGUAAAAAGAACUUACUGAAAUAUUGACCUGUUUCUCACCCACACCUGUCAUAUCGCUUCUGAAGACACACGCCGCAUCCGAAUGUCCAUACUUCCCUACUAUAUAGUAUGCCAGAAACAGUAAGCCAAUGGAGUAGUGUGUCAGAAUCCUCAGUAUUCAUGAAGCAGUAAGCGAAGAAAUACCCAGAUGGCCUACCAAUUCCUGCCAGAUUAUAAAGUGUGUAUAGAUUGAAGAUUUGACAAUCCCAUAAUCGCUUGGGAGCUGAUAACAACCUCCCUGGAUGAAUUAUGUACAAAAUGUAUUCAUACUCGCAAAUGAAAGUACUGUUUUUCCAGCCGAGAAGUGUGUCUUUCAUCAAAUACAGUGCACAGUGCACACUGUAACAGUACAUGGUUUUGGAUGCAGGGAUGGAUUGAACCACUGGAGUCAUAUAAAUUACUUUUAUGCUGCUUUUAUAUGCUUUUUGGACCUUCAAAGUUUCAGUCACCAUUUACUUACAAUGUAUGAACCUACAGAGCGGAGAUAUUCUUCUAAAAAUCUUGUGUUCAGCAGCAGAAAGAAAGUCAUACACAUCUGGGAUGGCAAGAGAGGGUUGAAAAUGUCAUCAUUAACAUCUGGAAGUUACAUCAGAAGAAACAGCAUGGAGAUUUUUUUUUCUUAGCUCUGACUGAAGAAAUGUUUUUUUCUUUGUUUUGUUUUUUUGGUGUUCUUCAUCCGGCUGCCUCUGGGACUAUGAGGGGGAAGUGGAGGGCAGAUGAGCUGAACUCGCAGAGCCAGCUGAAACUUGAACCCUGUUGAUGCUGUUCCCACGAUCUUCUCUGUUAAGCAAUAUUCUCUUACUGAAAACGAAACACAAAAUUAGGGGGCCGAAGAUGAGAAUGUGGUUGGUGACACAUACAAAAUCACCAUCAGUGAGACCAUUUCACUUGCUGAUGUCAAAGAGGAGCCUCUCGAAUAUGACUUAAGUGCCAACAUGACAGCCAAAAAAGAAGAGCAGAACCUCUC